AGUUUGAUCCUGGCUCAGGAUGAACGCUGGCGGCGUGCCUAAUACAUGCAAGUCGAACGCUUUGUGGUUCAACUGAUUUGAAGAGCUUGCUCAGAUAUGACGAUGGACAUUGCAAAGAGUGGCGAACGGGUGAGUAACACGUGGGAAACCUACCUCUUAGCAGGGGAUAACAUUUGGAAACAGAUGCUAAUACCGUAUAACAAUAGCAACCGCAUGGUUGCUACUUAAAAGAUGGUUCUGCUAUCACUAAGAGAUGGUCCCGCGGUGCAUUAGUUAGUUGGUGAGGUAAUGGCUCACCAAGACGAUGAUGCAUAGCCGAGUUGAGGGACUGAUCGGCCACAAUGGGACUGAGACACGGCCCAUACUCCUACGGGAGGCAGCAGUAGGGAAUCUUCCACAAUGGGCGAAAGCCUGAUGGAGCAACGCCGCGUGUGUGAUGAAAGGUUUCGGCUCGUAAAACACUGUUGUAAGAGAAGAAUGACAUUGAGAGUAACUGUUCAAUGUGUGACGGUAUCUUACCAGAAAGGAACGGCUAAAUACGUGCCAGCAGCCGCGGUAA
rnacentral:rRNA from 1 species